rnacentral:rRNA from 1 species
UACGUAGGUGACAAGCGUUGUCCGGAUUUACUGGGCGUAAAGAGCGCGCAGGCGGUCGUUCAAGUCGAGUGUGAAAGCCCCCGGCUCAACUGGGGAGGGUCAUUCGAUACUGAUCGACUCGAAGGCAGGAGAGGGUAGUGGAAUUCCCGGUGUAGUGGUGAAAUGCGUAGAGAUCGGGAGGAACACCCGUGGCGAAGGCGGCCGGCUGGGCCUGUUCUGACGCUGAGGCGCGAAAGCGUGGGGAGCGAACCGG